AAAAUGCCAGUAGUAUCCAACUGAAAGGAAGCAAGUAAGUCGGUCGAUCUUGCUUCGCUUUGCUGAAAAAUGGUGCUCCUUGAUUUUUUAAGAAUUUUUCAGACUACGAAAUAAUUUUACGCAUUUUGCAUUAUUCUACUGUUUCAAACACAACUGUCUUACAGUAACCCGUAUUCGGAUUCAGCGAAUGACCAUAGCGCAAAUUCUUCAUCGAUAAAGCUGUCUACGCCCGAAGAAUGCGCACGGGAAUGCCAAGAUCAUGAGAAACCUAAAAAUUGUUAUUAUACCUUCGACAUUGAAUUCUAUACGACACAAGGACCUGCUUGUGAUGUGGAAACUGGAAGGGACCAAUGUAUCCAAGGGGAUGGAGUUGAAAAGACCUUGAUACCAAUCAAUCGACAGUUACCAGGACCA